rnacentral:tRNA from 1 species
GGGGUUGUGGCUCAGAGGUAGAGUGCUCACCUAGUAGGCGGGAGGUACUGAGAUCGAUCCUCAGCACCACA